GAAGUCGGACUUAGUCUUGCAGCACCCGCAGUUCGAGCAUUUGCCGCAGUCCUAAUGUCUAUCCUUCUGAUGAACUUGAUGUUAGGAUAUAGCCAAUGUGUCACAAUUGUAUUGGAGGCUCUUAGGGUUAGUUAUAGGUGUGUUGUCUUUAUAAGACAAGUUGGUCAUAAUUGUUGUAAUGAAAAACAGAAGUUUCCCUCUCUUCUUUCUCUCUCUACUUCUUCGUGGUUUUCACCUCCACUGCUUCUCUGCAUUACAUACAGUAGCAUUGUUAUCAUGGUAUCAUCGCCGGCAAUGGCUGACGCCGUCGCCUGACGAUCCCGGUGCUUCCGCUUUUCUUCGUUCUUGUUCCGGUAGUGUUCUCUGGAUCGCUGGAAUUUGGUUGGUUACUCAAACCCUAGAAUUUUGGGGAUUCUUGAGUCUGUCUGUGCUUUUCCUCUCGUUCGUCGAUGUUGUUGAGGUUCGUCGCUCUGGUUGAAGUUGAAGCAAAGAUUGUUAUUUGUUGAUUAAACAUGGUGACUCAUGCACAAUUAGCUUAUUCAAUCGCCUAUUUCUUCCCUGAUGUGUUGGCAAUACUGUUACAGUUAGAACUUAGAUGAUUAAAACCAAAAAGAUAAUGUAGAUAACCCAAAUAUAAUCAGAGAGAGAGAUCAGUUUAUGUGACACUUUGGCAAUUAAGAUUUUUCUUUGCUUGAAUAAACUAACUAAUAGAAAAUAAAAUAUAACUAAUUAGAUAUAAUUGCUAGAUAAUUUGUCAUAUUUCAAAACCGUUAAAUUGUUAAGAGUAGUUGAAUAUGACAAUACGAAUAAAUGCACAAGCGCCAAAUGUAGAGACUCGGAAUCCCUAUAUAUGGGGAACUCAACCAAACAAGCUACAAAUUAAGAAUAGGAACGCUAUCGGGAAAUCAUCCUCUGGGUAAAUCAUUCAAACACAAACAAGUGACAAUUAAGAGUAGCAACUCAAUGAGGAAUUCAUUCAAACGCAAACAAGUCACAACUAUAGAUUACCACCCCAUGCGGCAUUACUACAAACAGUUAGCAAUUUUAAAAAGUAGUAACACUAUGUUAGGCAUUUUAUAAAUGGUUCAAAGCCUUAACCACAUUACAGUACUGUUUUCAUGAAAUCAUUUGACGUACUUGGCCUUCUUGCAUAUUCACAAAAACUAAUACAAUUUGAGUAUUAAUUUUUAUAAUUAAAAAAUAAUAAGGGAUAAAAUAAAAUUAAUUAAUUUUGUUCAGUAUGGGUCGGGUAUGUUUGCUUUUACGGUAUCUGGAUAGCCAAAUGGUCUGUGAAGCAGGACUUAGUCUUGAAGCAGCACCCGCUGCUCGAACAUUAGUCGUAGUCAUGGUGGCUGUUCUUCUGAUGAACUUGAAAGGCUUUAUUGGUGCCAAAGCGUUUGAAAACUUGGUCUGCCGCCUAUGCUUUAGAAGAUUUGGCACCAAGAAAGCCUUUCAAGUUCAUCAGAAGGACAACCACCAGGACUGUGGCAAAAGCUCGAGCUGCAGGUGCUGCUUCAAGACUAAGUCCGACUUCACCGACCAUUUGGCUAUCCAGGUAUCGUACCGUAAAAGCAAACAUACCCAACCUAUAUUGAGCAAAAUUAACUAAUUUUAUUUUAUACCUUAAUAUUUUUUAGUUAUAAAAAUUAAUACUCAAAAUGUAUGGGUUUUUGUGAAUCAGGGAUGCAAGUACGUCAAAUGAUUUCAUGGACACAAUACUGUAAUGUGGUUAAGGCUCUGAACCAUUGAUAAAAUGCCUAACAUAGUGUUACUACUUUUUAAGAUUGCUAACUGUUUGUAGUAAUGCUGCAUGGGGUUGUAUUCUACCGUUGUGACUUGUUUGUGUUUGAAUGAAUUCCCCAUUGAGUUGCUACACUUCAUUGUCACUUGUUUUUGUUUGAAUGAUUUCGCCAUAGGAUGAUAUCCCGAUAGAGUUCCUAUUCUUAAUUUGUAGCUUGUUUGGUUGAGUGCCCCGUAUAUAGGGAUUCCAAGUCUCUACAUUUGGCGCUUGUGCAUUUAUUCGUAUUGUCAUAUUCGACCACUCUUAACAAUUUAAUGGUUUUGAAAUAUGACACAUUAUCUAGCAAUUAUAUCUAAUUAGUUAUAUUUUAUUUUCUAUUAGUUAAUUCAUUUAAGGAAAGAAAAUAUUGGUUGCCAAGUGUCACAUAAACUGAUCUCUCUCUGAUUAUAUUUGGGUUAUCUACAAUCUCUUUUUGGUUGGAUAUUGGAGCUUGAUUCCUCUAAUGAACCAAAGUUCUCUCGUCACCUAAUGAUUCGCAUAGAAAAGACUGCUUUUAAUGACAACUCACAUGCAGGUUUGUCACUGAGAAAUAUGAACUGUUGUCACUGUGAUGACAUAUUAUCAGACAUGCUCACGGAUUUCAAGUGCAAAGGAGAGAGAUGGAAGAUUUGGAAACUUAUUUAUCAGAAAAGAUUCAAGCUCCUCUGACUCCCCUAGUAAACUAUUUGUGGACACUGCUGUAUAUACCCGAAAUCGUUGCUUUUGUUUAGCUCUAUCAUCAAAGGCAGGGAAGAAUUCAGUGCUUCUGCCUACUGGGCGUUUCAAAGCCAACAGGAUGCAGGGUGAGGAGAUGUUCAUGGCAUCCUUGAUCUGCAAUUUGGAUGUUGGUUGUGAAAAGCUUCUAUUAUGCAAACCAGAUCUUGAUUGUAUAAGGGCACUGCAUUUUGACACCGAGGUAAACCGCGGUCUUGGAAAAUGUUACAGUUGGCCCCAAGAAUAUGCAUUGAAUGGUUGCACAAGUGGUGCUUCAGCAACAUAAUUCCUGGGCAAAUCUCCGUUUCCAGCUUUGGAUGCAUUUGUAGAAUCUGUUGCGACCAUUGGAAAUGUAUCAGGUGGUACCUUGUAGCCUGCAUCAGAAAAGUUUGAUAAUUUUCUGCUGUCACUUUAUAAAUAACUCGCUGCUUAUACACAAUUGAUAGCACUUGAUAUGGUCCGUACGUCUGUAUUUUGUCUGGAACUUGCCCUAUGCUUUUUUUUUUCUUAUAUGUAACACAGAACCUGCUAAUGCGCGUGAUGAAGAACGCGGUUUAGACUGGUAGCGGUGUGGAAUUACAAUCUAACAUGCCUACUGCCUAUGCGACCCUUGGACUGGUUAUGAUAGACAAAAGUAUUGCUCGAUAUAUA